rnacentral:rRNA from 1 species
UACGGGGGGGGCAAGCGUUGUUCGGAAUUACUGGGCGUAAAGGGCUCGUAGGCGGCCAACUAAGUCGGAUGUGAAAUCCCCAGGCUCAACUUGGGAACUGCAUCCGAUACUGGAUGGCUUGAAUUCGGGAGAGGGAUGCAGAAUUCCAGGUGUAGCGGUGAAAUGCGUAGAUAUCUGGAGGAACACCGGUGGCGAAGGCGACAUCCUGGACCAACACUGACGCUGAGGAGCGAAAGCCAGGGGAGCAAACGGG